AGUGAAAUUGAUGGAUCAUAUAGUAACUCUAUGUACCCAUUUGAGGAACUUUCAGACUAUUUUCCAAGGUGACUGUAUCAUUUCACAUUUCCUCCAGCAGU
rnacentral:pre_miRNA from 1 species